rnacentral:rRNA from 1 species
UACGGAGGGUGCAAGCGUUGUUCGGAAUCAUUGGGCGUAAAGCGCGUGUAGGCGGCUUGGCAAGUCGGAUGUGAAAUCUCCCGGCUCAACUGGGAGGGGUCAUUCGAUACUGGCGGGCUCGAGGCCGGUAGGGGGAAGUGGAAUUCCCGGUGUAGUGGUGGAAUGCGUAGAUAUCGGGAGGAACACCAGUGGCGAAGGCGGCUCCUGGAC